AUGGCGGCGCCCAGCGGAGGGUGGAACAGCGUAGGCGCGAGCUUGUGGGCUGCGCUGCUCCUAGGGGCCGUGGCGCUGAGCCCGGCGGAGGCGGUGUCCGAGCCCACGACGGUGGCGUUUGACGUGCAGCCCAGCACCGGUCGUGCACUCCUGCUCCCAUAACGUGGGCCCGGGGGACAAAUAUACGUGUAUGUUCACUUAUGUCUUUCAAGGAGGGACCAAUGAGCAAUGGCAGAUGAGUCUGGGGACCAGCGAAGACCACCAGCACUUCACCUGCACCGUCUGGAGGCCCCAGGGGAAGUCCUAUCUGUACUUCACACAGUUCAAGGCGGAGGUGCGAGGCACUGAGAUCGAGUACGCCAUGGCCUACUCUAAAGCUGCAUUUGAAAGGGAAAGUGAUGUCCCCCUGAAAACUGAGGAAUUUGAAGUGACCAAAACAGCAGUGGCUCAUAGGCCCAGGGCUUUCAAGGCCGAGCUGUCCAAGCUGGUGAUUGUGGCCAAGUCAUCACGCACUGAGCUGUGACCAGUAGCCCUGUUGCAGGCAGCACCUUCUCAUUUCUGGUGAAGCUGAAGGGGCCUGUGGCCCUGAAAAGGCCAGCACAUCACUGG